CCCCCCUUACAAAAACAAAACACAAUAAUACAUUGUUGUAGAGCUAUUUUGAUUAAUUGUUUUUCAAUCAGAUGAGAAUGUCAAAAGGUCACUGUCAUAACCCUUUUGUGACAGUAGGUGUCACCCAAGUGCCAGGACCAGUAAGGGAAACACCACUGAAGCGUACUGUCACGUAAGUGGCAGAAUAAAAUGACGCUUGCAGCGGUCACACAUAAAUCAUUGUGUCUGUUCCUUACUGCUCCACAGGAGGCUGUGCAGCAUCAGAACCAGAACCAGAACCUCGAGACUCCAUCUGCAUCUCAGUGAACAUCAGCUUCUAACAGAACUCUUAUUCCAUGUCAGGAAUUUAACUUUUGCAUUUAUACAGUCUGACUGAUGUCAUCAUCUUCUCCUCAGUUAUAAUACUUAUUUAUCAUUUGCUUUCACGACUAAUAAUACUGCUACCAGUACUAUUAAUCACUACAACUAAUACUACUACCAGUACUAAUAAUACUACUUUAAAUGUACCACUUCUCCCUCAGUAAGCCACUUUACACACACACUGUAAAUGCUGCUGUUCAUGUGUUCUUAUAUUGGUGUUAUUUUUAUUGUUCCUGUUUUUUUCUUUACUACUUUUAGUUCUUAGUUUCUUUCCCUGAUUACUGCACUCAGAGCAGAGACUCACCAGAGUCACAUUUCUUAUUUAUGUGUAAAAAGUGGGCCAAUAAAGCUGAUUCUGAUUGUGA